GCAGGAAACUCUGGCUCCUUCUGCUCAUGUUUCCUGCUUCCAGCGCAUUCUAUUACCUGCCCAGCUGUGGCCAGAAGAGGCUGGUUGGUGGAAGCUCAGCUGAUGCACACUGAGUUCAGCUUUGUGGUUUUGCCUUUCACUCUGUGCCGGUCCAUGGGAUGCCUGGGGCAGCUCUGUUCCAGGCUGUGGAGAACACGACAGUUCUUUUAGCUGUUAUCCUGCUCCUGGGACUAGAGUACCACCUGAGGUAUGUUCUUCUCAUAAGAAUGGCAAAAAUUUUAGAGAGCAAGUGGAAACACAGGAGGAUAUUAAGUUCUUGGCUCAGAAAUUACGUACUUCUACCUACAUGCCAUUGGUCAAAAUGGGUUCCAAGCCGACCCCAAGUCAAGCAAUGGAGAAGUCCGCUCUGUCUUCCUUUAGGCCACACAAAGGUAUGGAUGCAAAAAGAAGACUGGAAUUGGGAUCGAGAGACAGAGAGAGCACAAGCUGCCAGGAGAAGAGGAGAGAAUCUGAGGCAGACUCCACUGCACUGAGCGCAGAGCCUGAUGUGGGGGCUCAAUCCCAUGACUGCGAGAUCAUAACCUCAACUGAAAUCAUCCGGGCACCCCAAUAUUUGUCUUUUAAAAAGGACUUUCAAUGGUUUAUGCAGUCAUAUUGAGUGGGCUUUAAGCACUAAGGCAGCGUUUGUAGGAAUGACUGUUCCUACAAAUGUGGGGUUCUCAGAUCCCCUCAGAUACUACUGCAUAAACAAAUUGCUUUGUGAACACCAGCCUCUGGAACAGUUUCUGAACUUACUGUCUUAGAAUGUAAUAUUUAUCAAAUGUGAGAAUAUUUUGGGUAAUAUUAUCUGAUCAGGGCUGCUACAUAUUAUUUUAUUGUGGAGGGGCAUUUAAUUCCAAAAAUUUU